UCUUAUCAAGAGCGGCGGAGGGAUUAGGCCCUGUGAUGCCCGGCAACCUUCAGAUUUUCUGAAAAGGUGCUAAUUCCUACAAGUCAAAUGACUUGGAAGAUAAGG
rnacentral:ncRNA from 1 species